UGAGACAUCUGGAAAAAUAAUUGUCCAGAAAAGAAAAGGUGAGCACUACAAUGAGUCCUGUCUCAUGCCAACAUUAAUGCAUCCUGAGGCCAUUCAUGUGUGGUGUAGCUUCUUAUCCAAGGGAGUUGGCUCACUCAAAAUUUUGCCCAAAAAAA